rnacentral:tmRNA from 2 species
GGGGGCGACUGGCUUCGACGGAAGUUGGAACAGUCGGGUUGCAAGCAGGUUUGUCAUAUCCCUUGAUUGUGACAAAAAAAGUAAACGGCAAAAACGCUUACGCAUUUGCUUAAUUUAAUUUAAGCAAGCUCCUCCUUUCAAGUCCAUGUGAGAAAGGGUAGGGGCUCAGAAAUCAUGGAACGGCUCCCGGACCGUUAUUCGGGGUUUUUGCUUUGAGGCCUGCCGUUUGAUUGUUUAGGGUAGGUUGAGCAUUUAAAACAAUCUAAGCUUGUAGACACUCGUCUCAAUAAGACAACCGGACCCGGGUUCAAUUCCCGGCGCCUCCACCA